rnacentral:rRNA from 1 species
GAUGACCGCUAGCGGCAGGCUUAAUACAUGCAAGUCGAGGGGCCGCAGUUUUGUAGCAAUACAGAAGCUGGCGACCGGCAAACGGGUGCGGAACACGUACGCAACCUUCCUUUAACUGGACGAUAGCUCACCGAAAGGUGGAUUAAUACUCCAUAACAUAUUGAAGAGGCAUCUUUUUGAUAUUAAAGCUCCGGCGGUUAACGAUGGGCGUGCGUCUGAUUAGGUAGUUGGCGGGGUAACGGCCAACCAAGCCUUCGAUCAGUAGCUGAUGUGAGAGCAUGAUCAGCCACACGGGCACUGAGACACGGGCCCGACUCCUACGGGAGGCAGCAGUAAGGAAUAUUGGUCAAUGGACGCAAGUCUGAACCAGCAAUGCCGCGUGGAAGAUGAAGGCUCUCUGGGUUGUAAACUUCUUUUCUUUGGGACGAAACCCCUGUUUCUACGGGGACUGACGGUACCAGAGGAAUAAGCACCGGCUAACUCCGUGCCAGCCGCCGCUGUAAAAC